rnacentral:rRNA from 1 species
GGGAUAAUCCGGAGAAAUCCGGUCUAAUACCGCAUAAUAUCGUGAGUCUGCAUGGAUUUACGAUUAAAGGAGUGAUCCGGUGACGGAUGGGCAUGCGUGACAUUAGCUAGUCGGCGGGGUAACGGCCCACCGAGGCGACGAUGUCUAGGGGUUCUGAGAGGAAGGUCCCCCACACUGGUACUGAGACACGGACCAGACUCCUACGGGAGGCAGCAGUGAGGAAUAUUGGUCAAUGGGCUUACGCCUGAACCAGCCAAGUCGCGUGAGGGAAGACUGCCCUAUGGGUUGUAAACCUCUUUUGUCAGGGAGCAACGCCGGCUACGUGUAGCCGGACUGAGAGUACCUGAAGAAAAAGCAUCGGCUAACUCCGUGCCAGCAGCCGCGGUAAUACGGAGGAUGCGAGCGUUAUCCGGAUUUAUUGGGUUUAAAGGGUGCGUAGGCGGAAUGCCAAGUCAGCGGUAAAAUCGCGGGGCUCAACCUCGCUCCGCCGUUGAAACUGGCGUUCUUGAGUGGGCGAGAAGUAUGCGGAAUGCGUGGUGUAGCGGUGAAAUGCAUAGAUAUCACGCAGAACUCCGAUUGCGAAGGCAGCAUACCGGCGCCCAACUGACGCUGAAGCACGAAAGCGUGGGUGUCGAACAGGAUUAGAUACCCUGGUAGUCCACGCAGUAAACGAUGAAUACUAGCUGUUCGGGGCAAUUGGGCCUUGAGUGGCACAG